rnacentral:rRNA from 1 species
UACAGAGGUCCCAAGCGUUGUUCGGAUUCACUGGGCGUAAAGGGCUCGUAGGCGGACCUGUAAGUUUGACGUGAAAUCUCCACCGCUCACCGGGGAGGGGCCGUUGAAUACUGCAGGUCUGGAGUUCGGCAGAGGACCAUGGAAUUCCAGGUGUAGCGGUGGAAUGCGUAGAUAUCUGGAAGAACACCGGUGGCGAAGGCGGUGGUCUGGGCCUGAACUGACGCUGAGGAGCGAAAGCCAGGGGAGCAAACGGG